CCGAGUUUACAACUCCCAAACCCCUGUGAACAUACCAAUUGUUGCCUCGGCGGAUCAGCCCGCUCCCGGUAAAACGGGACGGCCCGCCAGAGGACCCCUAAACUCUGUUUCUAUAUGUACUUCUGAGUAAAACCAUAAAUAAAUCA
rnacentral:misc_RNA from 1 species